AACACCUACGGGAGGCAGCAGUGGGGAAUAUUGCACAAUGGGGGAAACCCUGAUGCAGCGACGCCGCGUGAGUGAAGAAGUAUUUCGGUAUGUAAAGCUCUAUCAGCAGGGAAGAAAAAAGACGGUACCUGACUAAGAAGCCCCGGCUAACUACGUGCCAGCAGCCGCGGUAAUACGUCGGGGGCAAGCGUUAUCCGGAUUUACUGGGUGUAAAGGGAGCGUAGACGGCGCGGCAAGUCUGAAGUGAAAUGCAGGGGCUUAACCCCUGAACUGCUUUGGAAACUGCCAUGCUAG
rnacentral:rRNA from 1 species